rnacentral:rRNA from 1 species
CCUACGGGAGGCAGCAGUGGGGAAUUUUGGACAAUGGGGGCAACCCUGAUCCAGCAACGCCGCGUGAAUGAAGAAGGCCUUAGGGUUGUAAAGUUCUUUUGUCUGGGAGCAAAAGUUAUGGGGUAAUAUACCAUGAUUAUGAGAGUACCAGAAGAAUAAGCACCGGCUAACUACGUGCCA